rnacentral:rRNA from 1 species
AUGGAGGUGAAGAAAAUACCUCCCUCAGCUGAGGGGAUGUUGGGUGAGCAAUAUUAUGACUUCUUUUAUGAAGUUGAAAAAAUUGUGACAGUGGGAGCCGAUAAGAGCCAAUCUUCCAUUGUUGUAGAUAGUAGUGCAUCCCCAUCUUUUCACAAGAAAGCAAGGACAGACAUAUAUCCUUCUUCUUCUGUUGGGCAAGGAGAAACCAGUGCAUCUAUUGUUGGUAAUUAUUCAUCCCAAAAUUAUGAAAAAGGGACACAACAACUUGCUGCUGUUGUUGAGAGUGAAGAAGAGGAGGACAGUGAUGAGGGAAAUCACACUGAAUUGCUGAUUGACACUAUGACUAGAGAGCAUGAAGAUGGGGAAAAAAUUAAACUAUGGUUCUCAGACUGGCAAUACAUCCUAUGA